UUUUUAAUCUAUCAGUAGAGUUGGGCUUCGGGCCCGUUCCUUGCUUCCUGCGAAAACAUCAGAAGGCGUCACCCCGCUAAACCUAAUUUCCGCCUCCAUUCAUCUCAGUAUGAUCUCGACGAUGAUCGUUUACCCUCUCCCUGUAACGUAUCUCGACUUUAAUGGCAUUAAUACAUACGCCCAGUACGAGCCCUUCAAUGCGGCGUUCCGUCUGCGAGAUCCAAGUUAUAAAUAGGGUGUUUUUUUUCUGAUUUGAAAAUCGGGAAGUGUUCAUUGGUUGUGGAGGCUAGGCUGCUGAGAUACUGGGAGGCUAGGAAAGCAUGGUGGAGAGCUUAUGUGGGUGGAUAUGCUUUUGGUCGAUGUUAAUGAACCAAAAAGGUGGUGGUGGCGGAAAGGUCGGUGUUGGUGGAACUACUUCCGCCGCCGGCUACGCUUCUACAAACGACGCCGUUGACUACUACCUCAAGUCUCGCGGCUUCAAACAGCCUCUUCUCUCAGAUCGAGUUAUCGUUCUCUGCUUCCAAUUUACGAGACCGUGACUUGAUGUCAAAGAGGUUGUUUUGAAUUCUCUGAAUCCUAAAUGGAUUAAGAAGAUCACACUCUCUUAUCAGUUUGAGCUGGUCCAGACAUUCCUUUUCAAAACUCAAAGGAGGAGAUGCUUAAGCUCGAUGAGCAGCAGUUUCUCGGCGAUGCAACCUGUACAUCGUCUGAGGGAUCUAUCUAUUAUCCACUGCUGAACAUGUACAUUGAUAAACUGAACUGUGUCCUUAUUAGAUUAAGUUAGAAGAAACCAAUACUGCUUAAGCUAUAGUUUUGUUUUAUUAUAAAGAAACCAUAACCUAUGGCAGAAACAAUGGUUAUUAGUUCUGAUGAGGGAGCUCUACCUCAUAAUGGGUUUUAAGCUAGAGCUUUUGUUUGUGAUAGUUCUGAUGUUUUUAUUACAUUGUUUUGCACAGAUGGAUUUUCAAUCUUAACGAACUAUAGAAACUAUUAAUAUUCAGUGUGAGUAUAUGGAUGUGAGGACUUGACAGAAACACAAGUAGAAGAGUAAAGUACAACUAUUCGUGUGGAAGGAUGAAGAAUGUUUAAUCAUGUUUUGUUAUGUUAUGUACUUUUCCGUUUAAUUAUGUUUUGUGGAAUUCUUAGUUCACUCAGCCAUGUUAUGCAUUUUGUUAUGCUUCA